rnacentral:misc_RNA from 1 species
UGCUUCCUAGUAGUUGCUCAGAGC